GAAUAUUGGACAAUGGGCGCAAGCCUGAUCCAGCCAUGCCGCGUGAGUGAUGAAGGCCUUAGGGUUGUAAAGCUCUUUUGUCCGGGAAGAUAAUGACGGUACCCGGAGAAGAAGCCCCGGCUAACUUCGUGCCAGCAGCCGCGGUAAUACGAAGGGGGCUAGCGUUGCUCGGAAUUACUGGGCGUAAAGGGCGCGUAGGCGGAUAUUUAAGUCAGGGGUGAAAGCCCGGGGCUCAACCUCGGAAUUGCCUUUGAUACUGGAUAUCUUGAGUUCGGGAGAGGUGAGUGGAAUGCCGAGUGUAGAGGUGAAAUUCGUAGAUAUUCGGCGGAACACCAGUGGCGAAGGCGACUCACUGGCCCGAUACUGACGCUGAGGCGCGAAAGCGUGGGGAGCAAACAG
rnacentral:rRNA from 1 species